rnacentral:rRNA from 1 species
UACGAAGGGGGCUAGCGUUGCUCGGAAUUACUGGGCGUAAAGCGCACGUAGGCGGAUUGUUAAGUCGGGGGUGAAAUCCUGGAGCUCAACUCCAGAACUGCCUUCGAAACUGGCGAUCUUGAGUCCGGGAGAGGUGAGCGGAACUGCGAGUGUAGAGGUGAAAUUCGUAGAUAUUCGCAAGAACACCAGUGGCGAAGGCGGCUCACUGGCCCGGUACUGACGCUGAGGUGCGAAAGCGUGGGGAGCAAACAGG